rnacentral:rRNA from 1 species
ACUCCUACGGGAGGCAGCAGUGGGGAAUAUUGGACAAUGGGCGAAAGCCUGAUCCAGCAAUGCCGCGUGAGUGAAGAAGGCCUUAGGGUUGUAAAGCUCUUUCACCGGGGAAGAUUAUGACGGUACCCGGAGAAGAAGCCCCGGCUAACUCC